GAGGGUAUACUUGGAGACAAGAAAUUGAAAAGGAAGCAGUAAACAGGAGCUGGGAAUGCUAAUAAGGAUAUUAGCAUGAGCUGCAGCUAAGUUAAAGGGCUAAGGAAGUGACAAGGAUUUCUUUAAGCUGGGGAUGUCAAAGGGACAUGGUUUAAUACUGAAAACUCAGCAAUUUCCUUAAAUUACGAGUGAUGGCCAAGUUGGGAUUUGUAAGGAGAAAGAAAGAAUAGAGUAUAAAGCAAAUAAGCUAAAUGGAAUUGUCUUUUCCCUGUUAAGACAUCACCACUCCUUCUCCCUGCGCUCUCCUUUCCAAUUCAGUACCCUCAUUCCCUCUUUUUUCCUCAUGGUUCCUUCCUUGUUCAGCCAUAUUGCCGAACCCCUCCUCUCUUAUUAUAACUUCAUGUAGUUCGGGUAUUGUAAGAAUUAAAGCAAAGGAAGGAUUACUAAAGGGAUACAAUUGAGCAACAAGGUAACCCAAUUUACAUGUUCUAUAACUUUUAAUUAUGGAAAUAGCUAACAGUAAAGGAAAAUUGGUAACUUGAUUUGGGUUAAUUAGUUUUGAAUUAUAUAAUUAAUUUCUAGUGACUGUAAUUGGUAUGUGAUAGCUUGGAUAAGUAAUUGUUGUUGUUAUAUGAAUUAGAAAAAAAGGGAUUAGUAGUUGUUGUGCAGAGAAUUAAGGUUGGAGGAUUUCCAUGGUGAAAUCCUAGCCAAACCAAAAACAAAUGGCUAUGAAAAUCUGAAAAUUAAGAGAUGCACACUAACUGUUUGAUAAAAUGCCCAAAUAAGAUUUCCAAGCUUAAAAAUGAAUAAUUACCUGAAGCUUGGAACUAGAAGACAUUUGAAUAGGUAGUAUAAGGUUUCCUAAGUCCAUUAGUGGAACCAAAACAAGUUUGUAAAGCAAUGGAUGAAAUUAAAUCAAAUGAAAUUUCCUUAAAAAGGUUCCACAAGUUUGUAAAGCAAUGAAAUGAAAUUGAAUCAAAUGAAAUUUCCUUAAAAAGGGUAUGAACACUGAGUUUUGAGCUUUUAAUUAGGUGUCUUAAUAAUGUUGUUAGAGACCAAACUUGGAUGAAAAAUGUACCUUAUAACAAGGUCUCGAAGUUGGAACAAGUUUCAAGUCAUUUGAACUUGUAUAGCAAAAGUUACGCUAACUUAGGGGGCUUGAAAAAACAAAAUCCGAAAAGUUAGUGGACUGCUGACCCUAAAAGAAAAAUUCGGGGAUAGCUAAAUUGUUCACAAAAUUUUGGGCUUUUGGGGAAGUAUAGUACACUGAAUAAGCUUUCUGUAGACUCCGGAAUAGACUAAUUCCGACUUCGGAGAAAGGAAUUAUGACAUUUCAAAGUAGUUGCGUCAAAUCUGUCUAAUAAAUUCAGAGCAGUCCAGUUGCACGAAUUUUCUGGAAUUAUGUGUUUAGAAUUUAAAAAAGGUUAAUGAAUAAAAGUUGUAGCCCCGGAAGUUAGCUUCGCGUGGGCGCAAGAAUCGUUAAAAAAUGUUUUGAAAUGAAUUAGUUAUGACUGUUUUAGCAAGAGAGGGUAAAACUGGGAAAAAGUUAAAAAUUGUUAUGAACGUCCACUUUUGACGCACUGUUUGGGCUGUCUAACGAACCCGGGAUGCGGGUUUAAUAUUUUUUAAAAAUAUUUUAAUAUGUUAAGAAAAACAUACUGAAAAUUGGACGCGAUCCGGUAAGUGAGCAAAGCGUGAGAAAUUCGCGAAGUGGCUGACCUGUUAAGCGAAGAAACAGAGUAGUAGCCAGCGCUGCACUUGCCGUGCUGUGCUGUGCCAGGUGCAGUUGCCUGACAUGCUUUUCAUGCGCUUCUUUGUUCGAUCUUCGUCACUUAUUUUCACGGUUAGAAAAUUUCUAAAAAUAUUUAGACAUAACAACUAAAACAUACCCAAAAUUCGCCGCGAGUUGAGUAAUAGUUUAAAAGAUAAAAAAAAUGGAGAAAUAGUGUGUCAGAACAUGGACUGCCUGGCCAGUUGGCUGGCGCCAUUCCUGGCUGUGCCUGGCAGUCGUGGGCUGCUCGGCGAAUCGUAGUUUUGCGACACGUUUGGACUAGUUUUGUAGCGACGUAAAGCAUAACGAGACACCGGAAUGGUAGUUUAAAUGUAAUAUAAUAACUUUAUAUACCAUGAAAACUCAUCUCGAGCGUAAAGAAAGCAAUAUGAAUGUAAUGUAAACGUAAGUUUACAUGUUUAUGCAAGCGUAAGCUGGAAAAUGAUAUGUAAAAUGGUUAUGCAGCAAAAUGAAAUGCUUGAAUCUGUUUAAAAUUGUAUUGAAAAUAAAAUAUUAAAACGAAGAUUUUCGGAGUUCAAAACGAAGGUUUUGAACAUGGAAUUACAUAACGACGUAUAUAUGAAUUUAAAAUAUAUGUGAAUCGAGAACGUGAAAUAAUCGCGAGAAUAAAUGCGAAGCUAAGCUACUAAUGAAGCAAAACAUUCGCGUAUGUGGCGAUAGCAUGGUUUAGCACAUGAGCUAUUGAAAAGACGUAAUAAUUAUGAAGAUUAAGAAAAUGAUGAGAUGAGCUAUGUUUACGCAGUAAAAGCUAUUCAUAAACCAUAUGGUCCAGAGUUUAUAAAUAUAGACAAGAAAUAUUCUUAAAACGGGUUGUAAAUGGUUUAUAACUCUAAACGUAGAUUAUUUAUAUACUAAAGCCAUGAGAGAACCUUUUUGGACAUAAAAGGGUUAUAAUGAACAAAAAGUUUCUAAAGAAACAUAAAAUAGUUUUAAGACAAGAACAAAGGAUUAUAGUUGAGGUAAAUAAAAUUAGUGUACAUUGAGUAUGUGAAUUUAGUAUGUGAAACUAAUAUGAACAUGUAUGUAUCCUCAAUUUGUGUAGGAUCAUGACAUAGCAAAUAAGUUAUAAACAUUAAACAUCAUCCAAGACAAGAUUUUCAGUUCUGUUAUGUUUGUGGGUUGAAUGUGUUAAUGUGCUAAAUUACAUAUCAUGCUCUAUGAAUUGUUAAAGUCAAAAUAUGACUAAGUUAAUUAGGUAUGGAACUCAGUUUAUAUGUGAUAUGUGAUAACACAUGUUGUAUGAUGUAACGCAAUAAUUGAAAAUGUAUAAUGCAAGAAUAUAUGCAUUGCACGAAAUUAUUGAUGCAUGUAGUAUAUGUAUAGCAAAGAAAGUAUGUUGCAUGUGGUGAAUGUAGAGUUGUGUGCUAUAUGAAGCAUGAUAAACUGUUAAAUUUGUUAGGCUGUCGAGCUCAAUCUUGCAAACACAAACUUUUUGCAGGUUAAUGACGUUAUGCAAUAUUAUUUUCUAUGCGGAUGAUGAAGGAUGUACGAAAUGAAUACAUUUUCUUGAAUUAGAAAUUGUAAAAAGCUAUAUAUGAUUAAUGGUUUUUUUUAUAGGUAACUGACAGUUACAUUUAAAAUAUUUAAUAGAGAAUAUUUAUUCUGGAUGUAUUGUAAUGAAUAUUUUAUAAAAAUAAAGUGAUAUAGUGACAUUACUAUAUAAGAAAGAUAUUAACUAUUGAGACUUGAAGCUCUUAAUAUAUUUACCC
rnacentral:lncRNA from 1 species